GAAAUAUAACAUACUAUCAACAUUUUUUUUAAGAAAAACUUAUGUGGACAUAUCAUUGACAAGAAUGUGGAAAACAUUUUUACUACUUAAAACAAAAUAAUAGAUUUCAAAGCACUAACAACUAGAUAAAUGGAAAGCAUAUUGGGGAAUUCUCAAACUAUUUGAAUAUGGUAAAAUUAUAUAUAUAAUAAUAGUAAAUUAAAAUUUAUUGUCUUAAUUUGCUAAGUAAAUUAUAAUUAUUUUGACGACCAAAAUAUAUUAAUUAUGAUGAACCGAGUUGAUGAGGGUGGUAAAAAAAAUUUUAUAUUUCUUAAGUAAGGUCGAGUAUUUGAUCAUUAUAAAUUAAAAAAAUUUAUGUUAGGAAUACUUUACCCUCCUAAUAGGCUUCCUGACAUAAGCAGACAAAUCUAAUUCAAUGAGUUAAAAAAUACUGUAAUUUACUACAAAAAAGAUAUUAAUUAUGACUCAUGAUAUUUUU
rnacentral:misc_RNA from 1 species